rnacentral:rRNA from 1 species
CCUACGGGGGGUGCAGUAAGGAAUAUUGGUCAAUGGACGCAAGUCUGAACCAGCCAUGCCGCGUGGAGGAUGAAGGUCCUCUGGAUUGUAAACUUCUUUUAUUUGGGAAGAAACUCCCGAUUUCCAUCGGGAUUGACGGUACCAGAUGAAUAAGCACCGGCUAACUCCGUGCCAGCAGCCGCGGUAAUACGGAGGGUGCACGCGUUAUCCGGAUUCACUGGGUUUAAAGGGGGGGAGGGAAGGCAGGUAAGAAAUCUCCGGGCUUAACCCGGAAACUGCCAUUGAUACUAUUUGUCUUGAAUACUCUGGAGGUGAGCGGAAUAUGUCAUGUAGCGGUGAAAUGCUUAGAUAUGACAUAGAACACCCAUUGCGAAGGCAGCUCACUACGGAAAUAUUGACGCUGAGGCACGAAAGCGUGGGGGUCAAACAGGAUUAGAUACCCGGGUAGUC